rnacentral:rRNA from 1 species
AUUGAACGCUGGCGGCAGGCCUAACACAUGCAAGUCGAGCGGAGCGGCGGACGGGUGAGUAAUGCCUAGGAAUCUGCCUGGUAGUGGGGGAUAACGUCCGGAAACGGGCGCUAAUACCGCAUACUAUCAGAUGAGCCUAGGUCGGAUUAGCUAGUGGGUGGGGUAAAGGCCUACAAAGGCGACGAUCCGUAACUGGUCUGAGAGGAUGAUCAGUCAAACUGGAACGGAGACACGGUACAGACGCCUACGGGAGGCAGCAGUGGUGAAUAUUGGAAAAUGGGAGAAAGCCUGAUCCAGCCAGGCGGCGUGUAUGAAGAAGGCCUUAGGGUUGUAAAGUACUUUCAGCGGGGAGGCGUUACCCGCAGAAGAAGCACCGGCUAACUCCGUGCCAGCCGCCGCGGUAAUAC